GAUGAACGCUGACAGAAUGCUUAACACAUGCAAGUCCACUUGAACUUCGGUUUGGGUGGCGGACGGGUGAGUAACGCGUAAAGAACUUGCCUCACAGAUAGGGACAACAUUUGGAAACGAAUGCUAAUACCUGAUAUUAUGAUUAUAUGGCAUCGUAUAAUUAUGAAAGCUAUAUGCGCUGUGAGAGAGCUUUGCGUCCCAUUGGCUAGUUGGAGAGGUAACGGCUCACCAAGGCGAUGAUGGGUAGCCGGCCUGAGAGGGUGAUCGGCCACAAGGGGACUGAGACACGGCCCUUACUCCUACGGGAGGCAGCAGUGGGGAAUAUUGGACAAUGGACCAAGAGUCUGAUCCAGCAAUUCUGUGUGCACGAUGAAGUUUUUCGGAAUGUAAAGUGCUUUCAGUUGGGAAGAAAAAAAUGACGGUACCAACAGAAGAAGUGACGGCUAAAUACGUG
rnacentral:rRNA from 1 species